UGGGGAAUAUUGCACAAUGGGGGAAACCCUGAUGCAGCGACGCCGCGUGAGUGAAGAAGUAAUUCGUUACGUAAAGCUCUAUCAGCAGGGAAGAAAAUGACGGUACCUGAGUAAGAAGCCCCGGCUAACUACGUGCCAGCAGCCGCGGUAAUACGUAGGGGGCAAGCGUUAUCCGGAUUUACUGGGUGUAAAGGGAGCGUAGACGGUACGCCAAGUCUGAAGUGAAAUGCCGCAGCUUAACUGCGGAACUGCUUUGGAAACUGGCGGGCUGGAGUGCGGGAGGGGUAAGCGGAAUUCCUAGUGUAGCGGUGAAAUGCGUAGAUAUUAGGAGGAACACCGGUGGCGAAGGCGGCUUACUGGACCGUAACUGACGUUGAGGCUCGAAAGCGUGGGGAGCAAACAGG
rnacentral:rRNA from 1 species